rnacentral:rRNA from 1 species
GACGAACGCUGGCGGCGUGCUUAACACAUGCAAGUCGAACGGGAUUUAGUAAACAGAAGCCUCGGUGGAAGAUUACUAAUGAGAGUGGCGAACGGGUGAGUAACGCGUGAGCAACCUGCCUAUGACAGUGGGAUAGCCUCGGGAAACCGGGAUUAAUACCGCAUAAAAUCGUAGAAACACAUGUUUUAACGGUCAAAGAUUUAUCGGUCAUAGAUGGGCUCGCGUCUGAUUAGCUAGUUGGUGAGAUAACAGCCCACCAAGGCGACGAUCAGUAGCCGGUCUGAGAGGAUGAACGGCCGCAUUAGAACUGAGACACGGUCCAAACUCCUACGGGAGGCAGCAGUGGGGAAUAUUGCACAAUGCGGGAAACCAUGAUGCAGCGACGCCGCGUGAACGAAGAAGGUAUUCGUAUCGUAAAGUUCUGUCCUAUGGGAAGAUAAUGACAGUACCAUAGAAGAAAGCUCCGGCUAAAUACGU